rnacentral:piRNA from 1 species
UGGCGAAGAUCAAACUUGCCUCUAGGAAC